UAGUCAUCUGGCUGAGGCGAACUGUCACUCUGAGGAGUGAGAUCAACUGGGUCUGGUUACAUGGCCACUCAGGACCUGAAUCCACUUGGCUUGCAUUUCUAGCACACCAGGAAACACCUGUCACACCGAAGAGCGCUCGAGUACUCAAGGGAGACUCGGAUAAUUGAUUUCCCCUGGGCUUCUUGAACGUGAAGAGGGCCUCCGGCUUUCCUGUGAAGAGAUGCUGGAGAGAGGCUGAGCCUGGCGCUCCUCUGGACCGUGCUCAACCCUGGCUCUUGCACAAGCUCUUCCAGCCCUUGAACCUCUCUUAUAACAGCGAGCACUCGGCAUUCAGUCUACUUCAUAGUUUUUUGCAAGAAAGCAGGGGUUUUAUUGUUGACCUAUUUUUUUUUCUUCUCCUAUUGUGUGUGUGUGUGUGUGUGUGUGUCUGUCUGUCUGUCUGUCUGUCUGAGUCUCUGUGUGUGUGCAUUUGUAUCUGUGGUUUGGUGUUUUGUUUUGUUUUGUUUUGUUUGCACGAGUGGAUGUACAUGUUGGGGGGCGGUGCAGGUGCACGUGGAGGCCGGAGAUUGGUGUCAGAAAUCCUACAACGCUGCUUUUCUACCUUAUACAGUGAAGCAUGGUCUCUCAAUCGAAACCCAGAGAUAGCCCCAAAUCAGAUUCCUUCCUGGGCUUACUUCCUAUGUCCUGGCCCAAAGUCAAAUUCCUGCCAAGUGGCCCCAAAAUAUUUCCACAGAUCUCAAAGAAACCUACCAAGCCUAUGAACAGCCUCGAAAGAAAGACGAAAAGGCAACUGUCAGUAAUGAUCCCACACAACACAGAUGUGAUAGCAGCUGAUGGCAGAGGAGGCAGAGGAAAUAGAACCUCACUUCUGCAAAUGGAUUCUUCGGCUCACCAAUUUCCUUGUUGGGCACUGUGGAGGCUGUGAGAUUAACCAGGGCUGUAUAAAAGGAAAGAAGGGAGGAAGGCACAUGGAAGACUGUCACCUUUCAGCAAAUGACAUCCUUAAGCAUUUAACAUCUCAGCUACAGUCUACUUGAUGUGGCCAAUGUGACAUUUGUCUUGCCAAAACCUUGUAUCAUCAGGACUAAUGCCUGGAAUAAAGCAACAGAGUAUUUUUAAUAUAAAUUGAAUAUAAUUGCAGAUACUAAAACUGAUGUUUUAAAUUCUGGGGC
rnacentral:lncRNA from 1 species